rnacentral:rRNA from 1 species
GUCUUCUUGAUUAAUAUUUUGAAGUCUGGCCUGCUCACUGACAAGGUUUUAAAGAGCCGCGGUAUUUUGCCCGUGCAAAGGUAGCAUAAUCAUUAGUCUCUUAAUUAGGGGCUGGAAUGAAUGGCUUGACGAGAAAUCAACUGUCUCUUAUUAAUUUAUAAAAUUUAACUUUUGAGUUAAAAGGCUUAAAUUAAUCUUAAAGACGAGAAGACCCUAUAGAGCUUGACAUUUUAUUUUUAUAUAGUUUUUGGAAAGUUUUUCUAUAUUUAAUGAAAAUGUUUUGUUGGGGUGACAUGAAGAAUAAUUAAACUCUUCAUUAUAAAAUCAUUGAUUUAUGUUUAUUUUGAUCCAUAAUUUAUGAUCAUAAGAUUAAGUUACCUUAGGGAUAACAGCGUAAUUGUUUUCGAGAGCUCAUAUUGACAAAGCAGAUUGCGACCUCGAUGUUGGAUUAAGAAUAAUUUUGGGUGCGGGAGCCCAGUAAUUAGGUCUGUUCGACCUUUAAAUUCUU